AAGCUCGUAGUUGAAUUUCGAGACCGGUUUACUGGUCGUGCUUUUGUACGUACUGGUAUUAUUAGUUUCUCCUUUCUGACGAAUCAUAAUGCCAUUAAUUUGGUGUUUUGGGGAAUCAGGACUGUUACUUUGAAAAAAUUAGAGUGUUUAAAGCAGGCUCACGCUCGAAUACAUUAGCAUGGAAUAACGAAAUAGGACGUUUGAUUUCAUUUUGUUGGUUUCUAGGGUCGACGUAAUGAUUAAUAGGGAUAGUUGGG
rnacentral:rRNA from 1 species